rnacentral:rRNA from 1 species
AUUGAACGCUGGCGGCAGGCCUAACACAUGCAAGUCGAGCGGAUGAAGGGAGCUUGCUCCUGGAUUCAGCGGCGGACGGGUGAGUAAUGCCUAGGUAUCUGCCUGGUAGUGGGGGAUAACGUCUGGAAACGGGCGCUAAUACCGCAUACGUCCUGAGGGAGAAAGUGGGGGAUCUUCGGACCUCACGCUAUCAGAUGAGCCUAGGUCGGAUUAGCUAGUUGGUGGGGUAAAGGCCUACCAAGGCGACGAUCCGUAACUGGUCUGAGAGGAUGAUCAGUCACACUGGAACUGAGACACGGUCCAGACUCCUACGGGUGGCAGCAGUGGGGAAUAUUGGACAAUGGGCGAAAGCCUGAUCCAGCCAUGCCGCGUGUGUGAAGAAGGUCUUCGGAUUGUAAAGCACUUUAAGUUGGGAGGAAGGGCAGUAAGUUAAUACCUUGCUGUUUUGACGUUACCAACAGAAUAAGCACCGGCUAACUUCGUG